UACGUAGGGGGCUAGCGUUGUCCGGAAUCAUUGGGCGUAAAGAGCGCGUAGGCGGCCAGAUAAGUCCGGUGUGAAAGUCAUAGGCUCAACCUGUGAAUGCCGCUGGAAACUGUCUGGCUAGAGUCCGGAAGGGGCGAGUGGAAUUCCUGGUGUAGCGGUGAAAUGCGCAGAUAUCGGGAGGAACACCAAUGGCGAAGGCAGCUCGCUGGGACGGUACUGACGCUGAGGCGCGAAAGCGUGGGGAGCGAACAGG
rnacentral:rRNA from 1 species